GUUUUUUUUAUAUAUAUGCCUUUGUUGGUCUAUUUAGUGGUGUAUGUGCCCUGACUAAGUCUGUGUGUCAUAUAAAUCACAAUUCGUGUUGAUACAAGUACCAGUGUUAGUGUAGAAAUAUUUUAAUCACAUACAAAUUUUCAUGAUACAGCGCUGAUAACCUCCGCCAUCUUGGUCAGACUUUUUUUGUAACUCCCGCCUCCAAACACAAACACGCGGACCUGACUGGUUCUCCAGUGGUCCUCAUUUGAAUAAAGUUAAACUUUCGCUUGCCUCGGUGAUUUGCUCUCAUCUCGCCCAAUCAGGGCGAUUUUCAUCUCCAUUCAACCUCAAUGAGAGCGAAGCGAAAUUUCGCUGUGUGGAACCCUACCGUAAC